CAAAAAGCAACAUCAGAGUUGGAGUAGCUUGUGGAAGAAGCAAGUGAAGUUCUGUAAAGCAGUCUUAUUAAUGAAUAAAGAAGAGGAUGGCUGAACUGGUCCAGUGGUUUCACUUAAGAGAUGAGAAAGCUGAGACCCAGAGGACAAGACAGAAGAGGACAAGAAAAGCUCACACAGCAACUGAUGCUUGCCUCAGUGCAUGGAGUGGGUAUUCCAUCAGGGCCUCCUUCUGCCCAGUGUAUCCUGAAGGAAAGAGGAGGGACUGCCUCAACCCCAGCAGGGAGAAUGGGGUUGCCUUGCACUGGAGGCCUGCGGUGCCCUUUCCAGCAUCUCUCCAGCUUAUCUGAAAAAUACUACUUGGGCUUCAUCUGGGGCCCUGGAAACUAUGUUGGAAAUAGAGGAACUUUAGGAAGCCAGCAA
rnacentral:antisense_RNA from 1 species